rnacentral:rRNA from 1 species
GACGAACGCUGGCGGCGUGCCUAAUACAUGCAAGUUGAGCGCUGAAGGUUGGUACUUGUACCGACUGGAUGAGCAGCGAACGGGUGAGUAACGCGUGGGGAAUCUGCCUUUGAGCGGGGGACAAAAUUUGGAAACGAAUGCUAAUACCGCAUAAAAACUUUAAACACAAGUUUUAAGUUUGAAAGAUGCAAUUGCAUCACUCAAAGAUGAUCCCGCGUUGUAUUAGCUAGUUGGUGAGGUAAAGGCUCACCAAGGCGAUGAUACAUAGCCGACCUGAGAGGGUGAUCGGCCACAUUGGGACUGAGAAACGGCCCAAACUCCUACGGGAGGCAGCAGUAGGGAAUCUUCGGCAAUGGACGAAAGUCUGACCGAGCAACGCCGCGUGAGUGAAGAAGGUUUUCGGAUCGUAAAACUCUGUUGGUAGAGAAGAACGUUGGUGAGAGUGGAAAGCUCAUCAAGUGACGGUAACUACCCAGAAAGGGACGGCUAACUACGUG